AAACAAACAUAAAAAAUAUUUUAAAAUCUAUAACGAUCAUGAUGGGCCAAUAAAAAGGUGUGAAUCGUAAAUCGGAAUCAUCGAUGUAUAGACUCCCCUUUUAUAUGUGACAAACUGCAAUAUUAUCUACUAAUAUAAUACACCAUAAAUGUAUAAAACUAAUAUAUAGAAUUCAAAUCGUAUAAUUGCGUUAUUCCUAUACAUGGAAAGUAUAGACUUUUUCACAUCUGAUUGGUUCAGGAUUUAAACAAGUUUCGUGACCCAGACUAUCUUCCAUAAAGAGAGGGGAGUCUUUACGUUAAAGGGAAAAAAAACAAAUGAAUAACGUAAAGGUAGUAGAUAAAAAAACAAAAGCAAAACGUCAAUGAAAAUUCCUUUUCUUCUUUGUUGUCUGUAGUGGACUCGACAUGUCACAGCCUGACGGGCAUGUACAGACAGGUGUCAUAUUUGCUUACCCUUACCUUCGCUUUUUUUCAGAUUUAAAUCAUUUUCUAAAUUGUGAUAUUUAAAAGGUGAACGACUGCCACGUGUAUAUCCGCAAAGGAGAAAGGUGGGCCAUAUCGGCAAAGGGAGCGACUCGCGUCCGUUCACGCCGACCCAUUAGUCAAUUUGCAUGGGGGCCGAACGCUUUUUAUACUUUGGUCGCCGAGACAACAACAAAAAUAAAUUGUGUGGACAUUUUUAACUUUCUAAAGUUCCAAAAACGAAUCGAAGUAACAAUCAGUAAAUCAAUGAAUUGUUUCCAAAUCGAAAUUUUUCUGGUCCUCAUUUGCAUACCUGUUUUUUUUUGUGUGUGUGUGUGUUUUGGAUCUCGUUGUACAGGACAUUGGACCGGUGAAUAAAUUAAAUUUAAAAAAAUUAAAUCAACGUUUCACAUCGGUUAGAUCGUCCAAUUGAUGCUAGGUAAAAGCCCUCAGGCUAUAAAGAUGCUUGAAUACCUUUUAGAUGUAUUUCUGUUUUCAUUUCCUUUUGAUUGCAAAAAAUAGUCAUACACAACAGACGAUGUUGAGAGGCAAAAUAUUUCAAUCUGAGCGGGGGACAUCCGACAUGUUGUCUAAAACAAUUUCAAUCGUUUAUAGAAGAAAAAAAAAUGAAUCAUCUGCAAAAGAAUGAAGGAAUUCAAA